rnacentral:rRNA from 1 species
AGAGUUUGAUCCUGGCUCAGGACGAACGCUGGCGGCGUGCUUAACACAUGCAAGUCGAGCGGAAAGGCCCUUCGGGGUACUCGAGCGGCGAACGGGUGAGUAACACGUGAGUAACCUGCCCCAGACUUUGGGAUAACCCUCGGAAACGGGGGCUAAUACCGAAUAUGACUUGGUGUCGCAUGAUGCUGGGUGGAAAGUUUUUCGGUUUGGGAUGGACUCGCGGCCUAUCAGCUUGUUGGUGGGGUAAUGGCCUACCAAGGCGACGACGGGUAGCCGGCCUGAGAGGGCGACCGGCCACACUGGGACUGAGACACGGCCCAGACUCCUACGGGAGGCAGCAGUGGGGAAUAUUGCACAAUGGGCGGAAGCCUGAUGCAGCGACGCCGCGUGAGGGAUGACGGCCUUCGGGUUGUAAACCUCUUUCAGCAGGGACGAAGCGCAAGUGACGGUACCUGCAGAAGAAGCGCCGGCCAACUACGUGCCAGCAGCCGCGGUAAGACGUAGGGCGCGAGCGUUGUCCGGAUUUAUUGGGCGUAAAGAGCUCGUAGGCGGCUUGUCGCGUCGACUGUGAAAACUCGGGGCUCAACUCCGAGCUUGCAGUCGAUACGGGCAGGCUAGAGUUCGGUAGGGGAGACUGGAAUUCCUGGUGUAGCGGUGAAAUGCGCAGAUAUCAGGAGGAACACCGAUGGCGAAGGCAGGUCUCUGGGCCGAUACUGACGCUGAGGAGCGAAAGCGUGGGGAGCGAACAGGAUUAGAUACCCUAGUAGUCC